rnacentral:rRNA from 1 species
UGGGGAAUAUUGCACAAUGGAGGGAACCCUGAUGCAGCCAUGCCGCGUGAAUGAAGAAGGCCUUCGGGUUGUAAAGUUCUUUCGGUGGUGAGGAAGGCGGUUGUUUUAAUAGAACAACUGAUUGACGUUAGCCACAGAAGAAGCACCGGCUAACUCCGUGCCAGCAGCCGCGGUAAUACGGAGGGUGCGAGCGUUAAUCGGAAUGACUGGGCGUAAAGGGCACGCAGGCGGGUUGUUAAGUGAGAUGUGAAAGCCCCGGGCUUAACCUGGGAAUUGCAUUUCAGACUGGCAAUCUAGAGUAUUUUAGGGAGGGGUAGAAUUCCACGUGUAGCGGUGAAAUGCGUAGAGAUGUGGAGGAAUACCGAAGGCGAAGGCAGCCCCUUGGGAAUAUACUGACGCUCAUGUGCGAAAGCGUGGGGAGCAAACAG